ACGGCUAUCUCUCGUUGAAACACCAGUUCCUGUACAAUCACCGAAAUUAAGCAACAUCGAGCCUGGUCAGUACGUAGAUGGGUGACCGCUUAGGAAUACUAGGUGCUGUAA